ACAGUACAAACUGAGCAGGCGAUGAACCUUUAAGGUCAUGGGGCCGGGCCACAAUAUGUGGCAGCAGAGUGUAUGUAUGCACCUGUGGGACAGU
rnacentral:ncRNA from 1 species